UACGAAGGGGGCUAGCGUUGCUCGGAAUCAUUGGGCGUAAAGGGUGCGUAGGCGGGUCUUUAAGUCAGGGGUGAAAUCCUGGAGCUCAACUCCAGAACUGCCCUUGAUACUGAAGAUCUUGAGUUCGGGAGAGGUGAGUGGAACUGCGAGUGUAGAGGUGAAAUUCGUAGAUAUUCGCAAGAACACCAGUGGCGAAGGCGGCUCACUGGCCCGAUACUGACGCUGAGGCACGAAAGCGUGGGGAGCAAACAGG
rnacentral:rRNA from 1 species